rnacentral:pre_miRNA from 1 species
GCGGCUCGCCGGAUCUAGCGGCAGAGCUUGGGCUCCCGAUCCAGGCGAGCUCGAGCUUUGUCGCCAGAUCCGGCGAGAUCG